ACCUUUGAUGACCAAAAUCAAAUUUUACAAACUAGAGUUUCUGAAUCAUUUAGUGAUUAGACGUUGAUAUAUAGCUGAGG
rnacentral:snoRNA from 1 species